CCUGCACGACGCCGUGUCACAGGUCGGGAUGUGAUCCGCGGGGCUUGGCCCCGGUCGGGAUUGAACCAGCAA
rfam:Natrinema pellirubrum DSM 15624, complete genome.